rnacentral:rRNA from 1 species
GAUGAACGCUGGCGGCGUGCCUAAUACAUGCAAGUCGAGCGAACGGACGAGAAGCUUGCUUCUCUGAUGUUAGCGGCGGACGGGUGAGUAACACGUGGAUAACCUACCUAUAAGACUGGGAUAACUUCGGGAAACCGGAGCUAAUACCGGAUGAUAUUUUGAACCGCAUGGUUCAAAAGUGAAAGACGGUCUUGCUGUCACUUAUAGAUGGAUCCGCGUUGCAUUAGCUAGUUGGUAAGGUAACGGCUUACCAAGGCAACGAUGCAUAGCCGACCUGAGAGGGUGAUCGGCCACACUGGAACUGAGACACGGUCCAGACUCCUACGGGAGGCAGCAGUAGGGAAUCUUCCGCAAUGGGCGAAAGCCUGACGGAGCAACGCCGCGUGAGUGAUGAAGGUCUUCGGAUCGUAAAACUCUGUUAUUAGGGAAGAACAUAUGUGUAAGUAACUGUGCACAUCUUGACGGUACCUAAUCAGAAAGCCACGGCUAACUACGUG